UACGUAGGGUGCAAGCGUUGUCCGGAAUUAUUGGGCGUAAAGAGCUCGUAGGCGGUUUGUCGCGUCGGCUGUGAAAACCUGGGGCUUAACUCCGGGCCUGCAGCCGAUACGGGCAGACUAGAGUUCGGCAGGGGAGACUGGAAUUCCUGGUGUAGCGGUGAAAUGCGCAGAUAUCGGGAAGAACACCCGUGGCGAAGGCGGUUCUCUGGGACGGUACUGACGCUGAGACGCGAAAGCGUGGGGAGCGAACAGG
rnacentral:rRNA from 1 species